UGGCGGACGGGUGAGUAACGCGUGGGUAACCUACCCUGUACAGGGGGAUAACAGUCAGAAAUGACUGCUAAUACCGCAUAAGACCACAGCACCGCAUGGUGCAGGGGUAAAAACUCCGGUGGUACAGGAUGGACCCGCGUCUGAUUAGCUGGUUGGUGAGGUAACGGCUCACCAAGGCGACGAUCAGUAGCCGGCUUGAGAGAGUGAACGGCCACAUUGGGACUGAGACACGGCCCAAACUCCUACGGGAGGCAGCAUG
rnacentral:rRNA from 1 species